rnacentral:rRNA from 1 species
CCUACGGGUGGCUGCAGUCGAGAAUCAUUCACAAUGGGGGAAACCCUGAUGGUGCGACGCCGCGUGGGGGAAUGAAGGUCUUCGGAUUGUAAACCCCUGUCAUGUGGGAGCAAAUUAAAAAGAUAGUACCACAAGAGGAAGAGACGGCUAACUCUGUGCCAGCAGCCGCGGUAAUACAGAGGUCUCAAGCGUUGUUCGGAAUCACUGGGCGUAAAGCGUGCGUAGGCUGUUUCGUAAGUCGUGUGUGAAAGGCGCGGGCUCAACCCGCGGACGGCACAUGAUACUGCGAGACUAGAGUAAGGGAGGGGGAACCGGAAUUCUCGGUGUAGCAGUGAAAUGCGUAGAUAUCGAGAGGAACACUCGGGGCGAAGGCGGGUUCCUGGACAUUAACUGACGCUGAGGCACGAAGGCCAGGGGAGCGAAAGGGAUUAGAUACCCCGGUAGUC